UUUAGCCAUUCUGGCAGAUGUGAGGUGAUAUCUCAUUGAGGUUUUGAUUUGCAUUUCCCUGAUGGUCUACAAAUCUUGACAUUUAACAAGCAUCCCAGGGAUGUGGUUGCAGGUGCCCCAUGGACCACACUUUGAGGAACAAUGUUCUGAUCACCAAAUGAAGUGUUCCAGUCCUGACAAAAAAGGCCUCAGGGACCUUUUACAGCCAUGAACUGCUGCAUUCUCCUUACUCAAGACUUCCUUUCUUUUCCUUUGGUACAUCAGUAGCAAAAAGAGGCACCCUAGAGACGGUCUUCUUACUCUAUUGUAUAUUACUAGGAGUCAGCAACUAGAGAGUGCCAUCAGCCCUGGAAAGUCAUAUUUCUUCCUCAGCUUGUUGCCCACCACACACUGUCCUUACAAACUUCCCUGGAAGCAUUUACCAUCGCUAUAAUCAAAGGGUUUUCUGCAUAAUUAAUUAUCUGGGAUCUUUUUUCCACCCUGGACAUUGUUAUAUUCACAAUACGCAGCAUACUUGGGAGUCAGGAAAUUCCCAAUGAACAGUUAUUGAUUAAACAAGCAAAGUAUCA